UACGUAGGGGGCGAGCGUUGUCCGGAAUUACUGGGCGUAAAGGGCGUGUAGGUGGCCGAUCAAGUCAGGUGUGAAAUUCCAGGGCUCAACUCUGGGCGUGCAUUUGAAACUGGUUGGCUUGAGUGCAGGAGAGGAAAGUGGAAUUCCCAGUGUAGCGGUGAAAUGCGUAGAUAUUGGGAGGAACACCAGUGGCGAAGGCGACUUUCUGGCCUGCAACUGACGCUGAGGCGCGAAAGCUAGGGGAGCAAAC
rnacentral:rRNA from 1 species